GUUUCAGUGGAUCAGGGCUUAGUUGAACUGUGAACACUGUCACAUCACUGCAUGUUCACAGUGGCUAAGUUCCGCUUCUCUG